rnacentral:rRNA from 1 species
CGGCGCGCCUAACACAUGCAAGUCGCACGAGAAAGGGCUUCGGCCCCGGUAAAGUGGCGUACGGGUGAGUAACACGUAGGCAAUCUGCCCUUGAGUGGUGGAUAACCCUCCGAAAGGAGGGCUAAUACAGCAUGAGACCACGGCAUCUACGGAUGCCGCGGCCAAAGUGGGCCUCUCCAUGGAAGCUCACGCUUGAGGAUGAGCCUGCGGCCCAUCAGCUUGUUGGUAGGGUAAUGGCCUACCAAGGCUAAGACGGGUAGCUGGUCUGAGAGGAUGAACAGCCACACUGGAACUGAGACACGGUCCAGACUCCUACGGGAGGCAGCAGUGGGGAAUCUUGCACAAUGGGCGAAAGCCUGAUGCAGCGACGCCGCGUGAGCGAUGAAGGCCUUCGGGUUGUAAAGCUCUGUGGGGGGGGACGAAUAAGGGUUGGCCAAUAUCCAACUUGAUGACGGUACCUCCUUAGCAAGCACCGACUAACUCUGUGCCAGCAGCCGCGGUAAGACAGAGGGUGCAAACGUUGUUCGGAAUCACUGGGCGUAAAGCGCGUGUAGGCGGCUACGUAAGUCGGACGUGAAAUCCCAUGGCUCAACUGUGGAAGUGCGUUCGAAACUGUGUAGCUUGAGUCCUGGAGAGGAAGGCGGAAUACUUGGUGUAGAGGUGAAAUUCGUAGAUAUCAGGUAGAACACCAGUGGCGAAGGCGGCCUUCUGGACAGUGACUGACGCUGAGACGCGAAAGCGUGGGGAGCAAACAGGAUUAGAUACCCUGGUAGUCCAC